rnacentral:rRNA from 1 species
CCUACGGGUGGCAGCAGUGGGGAAUCUUGGACAAUGGGGGGAACCCUGAUCGAGCGACGCCGCGUGAGGGAAGAAGGAUUUCGGUAUGUAAAGCUCUAUUAGAAGGGAAGAAAAUGACGGUACUUGACUAAGAAGCCCCGGAUAAAUACGUGCCAGCAGCCGCGGUAAUACGGAGGGGGCAAGCGUUAUCCGGAUUUACUGGGUUGAAAGGGAGCGUAGGCGGUGCAGCAAGUCGGAUGGUAAAGGGCGGGGCCCAACCCCGAGACUGCAUUGGAAACUGUUUAACUGGAGUACAGGAGAGGUAAGCGGAAUUCCUAGUGUAGCGGUGAAAUGCGUAGAUAUUAGGAGGAACACCAGUGGCGAAGGCGGCUUACUGGACUGUAACUGACGUUGAGGCUCGAAAGCGUGGGGAGCAAACAGGAUUAGAUACCCUGGUAGUC